rnacentral:rRNA from 1 species
UACGAAGGGGGCUAGCGUUGCUCGGAAUUACUGGGCGUAAAGGGCGCGUAGGCGGCACUGUUAGUCAGGCGUGAAAGUCCUGGGCUCAACCUGGGAACUGCGCUUGAUACGGCAGAGCUAGAGGAUGGAAGAGGCUCGCGGAAUUCCCAGUGUAGAGGUGAAAUUCGUAGAUAGUUGGGAAGAACGACCGGUGGCGAAGGCGGCGAGCUGGUCCAUUACGUGACGGCUGAGGCGCGACAGCGUGGGGAGCAAACAGG